GAUUGAUACAUGGUGAUAUGGUUUGGCUGUGUCUCCACACAAAUCUCGUCUUGAAUUGCAGCUCCCAUAAUUCCCACCUGUUGUGGGAGGGACCCUGUGGGAGAUAAUUGAAUCACGGGGGCAGUUUCCCCCAUACUGUUCUCAUGGUAGUGAGUAAGUCUCACCAGAUCUGAUGGUUUUAUAAGGGGAAACCCCUUUGGCUUGGUUCUUAUUCUUUCUUUUGUCUGCUGCCAUGUCAGAUGUGCCUUUUGCCUUUUGCCAUAAUUGUGAGGCCUCCUCAGCCGUGUGGCACUUCCCACAGACAGGAACCAAAGCCAGCAGAACAAAGCAGCCCCAGAUGUGUUCUACUCUAUUAUCUGAAGUAAAUGAAAAUCAACCCUGAGGAAUGUGUAGACGGAAGCAGUUCAUCCUGGGAGGUGAGAAUGAGCAUUGAAAGAGCCAUCCGUGAAACCGUAAGGCUGGGAAAGAGAAGUGAAGGGGCACAUGGAAGUGUUCAUCUCUGGGGCAGGGAAAAACAAUCCGGAGAAGAUGAGUCACACCUCAUUUGUAACCCAUGAAUGAAAAUCAAUACUGUUACUUAUCAUAAAUUACACUGAACAUAGUGCUUACACUUGAGUAUCAAUGCAGUAAAACCACUAUGAGCCAAUUGAUUGACUUUUCUAGAUCCCAAUUCUAUCAUUCAUCUUCUGGUAUUCAUCUUCUGGCUUAGCUACUAUUUCCUGGCACAGAUUCUUAAUAAAGAUCCUUUCUCCUUGGUCCCAGA
rnacentral:lncRNA from 1 species